UGUUACGUCAUGGGCUGUGCCAUGUUAUGUCACCGGGGCUCUCUCAUUCAGGGCGUCUGUGCCACGUUACCUCACAGGGGCUGUGCCAUGUUACCUCACAGGAGCACUCUUGCUCAGGGUGGCUGUGCCACGUUACCUCACAGGGGCUCUCUCAGUCAGGGCAGCUGUGCCAGGAGGGCCGUGGCCCUUUUCUGUUGGCUGACCAAUUUUCUGCCUCCAUCUUCAUUAUGUGCUGUCAAUGUUCAUCCUGAGGAGCACCACUUGUUCAUUCAGUCAUCCAAAGCCAAGACACACCGAAACCAGGAAGAUGUCCUUCUGGGUGACCGCUCUCUUUUUGUGAGGCUCACGAAUUCUACUCCUACACUUUUGCGAGGUCCUUCUGUACUCCUGGAGUGAAGCACAUUGGAAGAAGGGCAGCUUGAGGAUGUCUGUGGAAUUCACUGCCACCGAUAUAUCCUUGAGGCCAAGAGCUUGUUGUUGUUAAUCUGUGUUGAGUGUGUAAUUGAGAUCCUAAGAGGGAGAUUAGCAGGAACCCCCUUGGGAAGACAUCUGACCUACACAAGGAAGCUAAUACAUAAAUAGCCCAAACUAUUGAGGCUAACUGCACCAUUUACCUGGAUGGUACCAUCCCUUCAUCAAGAGCCUCUCAGUGCCCCAGAGCUGAUCACCAUCUCUGUCAUUAGCCCCAGCUCUGAUGUUUUUUUCCCUGUCAUUUCUCACACCUGGACGGCCUUGCUUAGCGCUGCCGCUGUCAUUUGUGUCUGGAUGUGGAAACGUUUCCCUGGACGCUUGAUUCAUCCGUCAUUUAGAUAAUCGGAAAAAGCAGUUUUCAGGAGCAGCGUUCUACUGGGAAGCAGCCUGUUUCGAUCCAGAUGAACGUGAUGGCCAGCCUAUCAAAGCUGUUUUUCAGAUUCGCUCGCGUGGCUUUGCAGAACCUUCUGGCAUCUGCUAGGAGGAAACUCUGAUUAACCCAACAUUAUUCUUAAACACCUAUUGCUUCUGCAGCUGCUGCCCUGCUACUGUUAUCUAAGGCGGCUGGGCGUAAAUAUUCUCCUAACUGCUUGGCAUGAUCCUUUGGGACAGAAGGCCCUGCGUGAAUGGAAGAUAUUAUUAAUUAUCAGCAGCUCUUGUCCUAAUAAAGGGCCAGGGUUUUUCGACGCAUGGGGCUUUGAUUCAACAAUCAUCUUUCAAGCAGCCGGCUUGCAGCCUCACCUUAAACUCUCAGCACAGCAAACUCUUUGCCAAAUAUAACCCGACUGCUAGGCCAUGAUGGAUAUAUAUGUAUAUCCCCUUCCCUGCCUCAAUGAUCAGAUGGCGAAGCAAAUGGCUCCUAUGACAGAUGUGAGAUCUUGGAAGCGUGGAAACAUCGAAAGACUUAUUCUCCUGGGAUGUGCCAGACACCAUAGGCGCAGGAAAUAUUAAUGGACCUUUCUCCAUCAGUAAGUGUGGUGUGUAUCUUUGUGGUUUUCUGGCUUGCUGGGUCGGUUUCCUGUGGCAUCUAGAAUUAUUAAUGAAAAGUCACCCAGUGCCAGUUAUGCAGAUAUCAGCCUUUCCUGGGGAGAGGGGCAUUGAUGGGUUUUAUCUGUUUCAGGAGGGCUGGCCUCCAAACUAUUACCACCCCCC